rnacentral:tmRNA from 1 species
GGGGCUGAUAUAGCUUUCGACGAUUGGACAUUAACAGAUCAUUUUGCAAGUCGACAACUGACGUAAUCAGUAUUUUAAUUGCAAACACAUUUGCAUCAGCAGUAGCUAAGGUAAAGAACGCUUUUAGCGUUCCUAGUCUCGCUUUUGCGCCAGCUGUAGCCUAAGUGCUCAGCCGCUCCAUGCCUGACGUCAUAUAGUGCUAUCGGAGUGUCAUACUUAUAUGGCUUGAUGUAUCUGUAGCUGUGGAGCAGAUAUGUGACACUUAUUCAUAGACCGUUGUGAUCUUUUUUGUUAACUCCUGAUGUUCAUGACGUAUAUAGAGUUAACUAUGCUUGUAGACGAAUGAUCGGUUGCCGACCGGAGCGGGGGGCAGUACCCCGCAGCUCCACCA